CAUCCCUUCCUGUUUCUUAAGAUGGACGACAAGCUCCAUCGACAACUUAGCUGUGACAUCCUUCCGACUGACAGCUCCAAAGACCUUGCCAAUGAACUUGUUCAUUACGCCUUCAUAAGUGAGGAGGACUGUGGGAAGCUGGCAGGGUUCCUUGAGGACGCGCUCACCAGACACAAGGGCAAAGCGCUGGCCUCUGGGAUCACACAGUGAGAAGGGGCCUCUCCGGAAGCUGGCCCACAGAGAGGGGCCUCGAGCAUUGACCACUCAAACAGAGCAAGACAGGGGCUAGAAGGCAGGAUGACUCAGCCAGGAUCAGAGGGACUGGCUCCAGUGAGGGUUUGAAGGAUUGAGCCUGAUGA